rnacentral:rRNA from 1 species
AUUGAACGCUGGCGGCAUGCCUUACACAUGCAAGUCGAACGGCAGCACGGGUGCUUGCACCUGGUGGCGAGUGGCGAACGGGUGAGUAAUACAUCGGCACAUGUCCUGUAGUGGGGGAUAGCCCGGCGAAAGCCGGAUUAAUACCGCAUACGAUCUACGGCUGAAAGCGGGGGCCCUUCGGGCCUCGCGCUAUAGGGUUGGCCGAUGGCUGAUUAGCUAGUUGGUGGGGUAAAGGCCUACCAAGGCGACGAUCAGUAGCUGGUCUGAUAGGACGACCAGCCACACUGGGACUGAGACACGGCCCAGACUCCUACGGGAGGCAGCAGUGGGGAAUUUUGGACAAUGGGCGAAAGCCUGAUCCAGCAAUGCCGCGUGUGUGAAGAAGGCCUUCGGGUUGUAAAGCACUUUUGUCCGGAAAGAAAUCCUUGGCUCUAAUACAGUCGGGGGAUGACGGUACCGGAAGAAUAAGCACCGGCUAACUACGUG